CCUACGGGAGGCAGCAGUGAGGAAUAUUGGUCAAUGGGCGGGAGCCUGAACCAGCCAAGUCGCGUGAGGGAAGACGGUCCUACGGAUUGUAAACCUCUUUUGCCGGGGAGCAACGGGGUCCUUGCGAGGGCCCAAUGAGAGUACCCGGAGAAAAAGCAUCGGCUAACUCCGUGCCAGCAGCCGCGGUAAUACGGAGGAUGCGAGCGUUAUCCGGAAUGACUGGGCGUAAAGGGUGCGUAGGUGGUUUGACAAGUUAGUAGCGUAAUUCCGGGGCUCAACUUCGGAACUACUACUAAAACUGUUGGGCUUGAGUGCAGGAGAGGUGAAUGGAAUUCCUAGUGUAGCGGUGGAAUGCGUAGAUAUUAGGAGGAACACCAGCGGCGAAAGCGAUUCACUGGACUGUAACUGACACUGAGGCACGAAAGCGUGGGGAGCAAACAGGAUUAGAUACCCUGGUAGUC
rnacentral:rRNA from 1 species